UAACUGCACUACAAGUUAUGUGCUUCUUUGAAAUUCAUGUCAAGUUCAAAAGCUUCUAAAAAUCAGCUGAAGUUCCGCUUUUAAUGAAAUUUUAUCCAAUAUUAAGCAAGAUCUUCCUCUUCACUCUGUCGAAAUUUUAGUUUAAUAUUCGAACUGGUUAGGGAGUUAUGCUGCCCUACAAACCACGUAAUUUCUUGAAAUUUACGUUAAGUUCAAAAGCUGCGAAAAAAUCAGUGGAGGACCGAUAUUCAAAGACAUUUCGUCGAAUUUUAGACCAAAUUAUCUCCUCAAUAGUUCCAAAACUUCAAGUUGCUACUCUAACUCAUUCGACAGUUAUGAUUUUUUGCUUAACUGCACUUGAAGCUAUGCGGUUUCUUAAAACUAACGUCCAUUUCAAAAACUUCUGGAAAAUGAGUGGCGGAUUGGCAUUCAUUAAAAUUUCAUUCGAUUUACGCAAGAACCUUCCUUUCCAUCGUGCUGAAGCUUCAAGUUGUUACUCCAUCUGGUUUGGAAGUUAUGAUUUUUUCUUUAACUGCACAACAAACUAUGCGUUGUCUUCAAAGUAACGUCACGUUCAGAAGCUUCAAAAAGUCAAUAAAGCAUCUCCAUUCAAUGAAGCUUCGUCCAGUUUUAGACAUAGAUUUUCUUGGUUGUGUCGAAACUUAAACUUACUAUUCCAACGAGUUUGGGAGUUAGGAUUUUUGGUUUAACUGCACUACAAGUUAUGUGCAUCCUUGAAAUUUACGUCAAGUUCAAAAGCUUCUAAAAAAUCAGCUGAAGUUUCGCUUUUAAUGAACUCUUAUCCAAUAUUAGGCAAGAUCUUCCUCUUCCCUUUGUCGACAUGUCAGUUUCGUAUUCGAAGUGGUUAGGGAGUUAUGAUUUUUUAUUGAACUGUACUAUAAACCACGCAAUUUCUUGAAAUUUACGUCAAGUUCAAAAUCUGCGAAAAACUCAGUGCAGGAUUGAUUUUCGAUGAAAUUUGGUCGAAUUUUGGUCAAAAUUAUCUCCUCCAUCGCUCCAAAACUUCAAGUUGCUACUCCAACUCAUUCGAGUUUAAUUGCACUACAAGUUAUGCGGUUUCUUAAAACUAACGUCCACUUCAAAAAUCCUGAAAAAUGAGUGGAGGAUCGGCAUUCAAUAAAGUUUCAUUCGAUUUAAGGAAAAACCUUCCUUUUUAUCUUGCCGAAACUUCAAGUUGUUACUCCAUCUGGUUUGGAAGUUAUUAUUUUUUCCUUAACUGCACUUCAAAUUAGGCGUUUUCUUGCAAGAAACGACACGUUGAAAAGGUUCAAAAAACUUAAUAAAGCAUCUCCAUCCAAUAAAGCUUCCUCCAGUCUUAGUCCAAGCUUUCUUCUUGAUCGUACCGAAAGCCACUACAGUCUACAACUCAAACAAACCGCAACUCACCCAAACGAACCCGAAACUGUCCCAAACUAUCCAAGUUGCAACAGGACAAUUAUGUAUGAAUUAAUUCACAUUUGUAAUUUUUUGUCUGCCUAAAAACAAUGAUGAAUCAGAAUACAAAUCUCUUUAAAGUGAUAAAACCGCAGCUGACCAGAUCCGCUUAAUGAUGUUAACAAUCUGCCUCAGCCCUUUCAUUAGCUGCCAAUAAAUUUGAAAUUUAAAUGCUCGAAAGAUCCAAUGAGGAAGAACAGCUGAAAAUUUUCACGAAAAACCAUACUACACACGAUCAUUAACCACGCCCAAUUGUCCAGGUGUAAUAUGCGGGUAAAAAACAACACAAGCCAAAUAGAUAAUACCUUUGAAGCCCGAUGAUACCAUCUUCAGUUUUAGUGAAGGUUUAGUGGUUAAAACGUCAUCAUCGGGUGCCUGAACUAAUCAAUAGCCUCCAAAUGUAUCAAUUUGCUUCCAUUGAGGGCGAUUUUCUGCUGAAAGCCUCUUCCAGUUCUCAAGAUUUUUACGUCGACAAAUGUCUUGCAAGUGGAGUGCCCCAAGAGGAGAAUUUCAAAAGAACUUUGAGGGAAAAAAACGGUUAUCCGCACGUGCCUCAUAGUGAAAAAUCGCCUCAAAUUGUCGCUAAGAGAAAUGCCCGUGAGCGAAGACGCGUUCAAGCUGUUAACAACGCUUUUGUGAAGUUGAGGAAUGUUAUUCCUAUCCAAAACACCAGGGGGAAGAGAAUCAGUAAGGUUAAGACGUUGUUAUACGCCAUUGAUUAUAUCCGCGCUCUGGACGACAUGCUACACGAUCUGGCUUCUUAUAAUAUGAUUUACUGCGAGUUGCCGGAAGGGGAGAUUCGUCAAGCAGCUAAUUGGGUUUAACUAAAAAUGGUAGACGAAUUCCGAAGAUGGCAAUUAACGCAAACGUUCAACUACUAAAAAUAUUGGGGAAGUAAGAUGCAAACACCCUUGAGCGAUCUUAACGGAUUCUUCUGAUUUUCCAGUUUUCACCAUAUUUUCAGUCAAAUCAUUCUAGUCAUGCUUUAGUUUUAGCCCUCAGUUUAGCUAAGGUUAUAAUUGAAUUAUUUUGUACUUAAAAAAUAUACAUCAGAGUAAAAACUA